GGCAGGAAAGAUUUGGAAAUCCAUGCAUGUGACUUGAAUCACAGUCAAUAAUAUGAGCCUUUAGGCAGACCGUCGAGCCAGGCGAACACCAACAGGGCAGACCGUCCAGCCAGGCGAACACCACAGGCUCCCAUCCUGGAAGUCGAGGGUCCUGGCCACCUCAGAGCUAAGAAAAGCUUUCAAGGACACUAAAAAUUCAGGUGAAUUCAUCUGAACACAGAGAUGAGUUGGUCAGCAGUUGCAAGGCGGAUGCUACAGAGGAAUCAUAAACACAACAGCCCUUGCUUCCGACAGCGAGAGAGAAGAUCCCUGCCAAUACCGCGACCUUCUGUGGACAUCACUCUCAUCUUUAAAAUUGAGACAAGAAGCCAGAUACCUAAGAGCACAUUCUGAGAUGACAGCAACCUGCGGCUCUGAACCACGCAGGACUCCUGCAUGGAAGGAAAACCAGAACAGCGGUCUCCUGUGGGAAGAGGAAAAGACGACAUGGGUGACUAUGAUGGACACAAAGAGAAGCAUGCUUUCUUGGUGACCAUGUAGAUAAAUGUACAUGUGACAAAACUAACACCCAUGGCCCAUCCAUGGCACGGUAUGCAGACCAUGGGUUGAUGAUGCAAUGGAAAACAGAGAAGAGAGUGACAGACCCCUAAUAUGAUGCGCCUGAAGUUAAACUUGAAAAGGAAGAAACUCAAUAGAGCAUGUGACUCUCCUGCUCCUGAAGACAAGACUCUGAGUAGGGAGGCACAGUCUACUCUCAUUUCCACCUUCAAUUACAGAGUGCUUCUACUUAACAGCAGGUAUUUUGCACACAGUAAGUACUUGGUGUCACUAAUGCCUUUCCCUCUACUCAACCCAUAAUCACAAGCCUACCUUAUCAUCUGAAACCUAAGAACGUGUCCAACACCAAGUAUGAGCAGUGUGUGUGCAUGUAAGUGUAUACGUACAUAUGCAUGUGUGUUUGUGCAUGUGUCUUUAUGUAUGUGUCUAUGUAUGCUCUUGAGUAUGCACAUGUGUGUGUGUGUUGGUGUGUCAGACAAGUCACAUCAGCUCCUAAGGGAUCAACAGACCUAGCACUGUCACAUGAACAAACUUUAGACUCUGAGGAUAAACAGGGAUCCCCACAACUUCUCUCUGCAUGAAGUCAUAAUGAAUACAUCUGAAAUGUAAAUGCAUGACGAAAUUCCUAUCACAUUAUUUGGUGCU